UACGUAGGGGGCAAGCGUUGUCCGGAUUCACUGGGCGUAAAGCGCGUGUAGGCGGCGCGUCAAGUCGGGUGUGAAAGCCCGGGGCUCAACCCCGGGAUGCCGCUCGAAACUGGCGCGCUUGAGGACGGAAGAGGGGAGUGGAAUUCCUGGUGUAGCGGUGAAAUGCGUAGGAGAUCAGGAGGAACACCCGUGGCGAAGGCGGCUCCCUGGUCCGUCCCUGACGCUGAGACGGCGAAAGCGCGGGGAGCGAACGGG
rnacentral:rRNA from 1 species